GGCGGACGGGUGAGUAACACGUGGGUAACCUGCCCCUAAGUGGGGGAUAACAUUUGGAAACAGAUGCUAAUACCGCAUAGAUCCAAGAACCGCAUGGUUCUUGGCUGAAAGAUGGCGUAAGCUAUCGCUUUUGGAUGGACCCGCGGCGUAUUAGCUAGUUGGUGAGGUAAUGGCUCACCAAGGCGAUGAUACGUAGCCGAACUGAGAGGUUGAUCGGCCACAUUGGGACUGAGACACGGCCCAAACUCCUACGGGAGGCAGCAGUAGGGAAUCUUCCACAAUGGACGCAAGUCUGAUGGAGCAACGCCGCGUGAGUGAAGAAGGCUUUCGGGUCGUAAAACUCUGUUGUUGGAGAAGAAUGGUCGGCAGAGUAACUGUUGUCGGCGUGACGGUAUCCAACCAGAAAGCCACGGCUAACUACGUGCCAGCAGCCGCGGUAAUACGUAGGUGGCAAGCGUUAUCCGGAUUUAUUGGGCGUAAAGCGAGCGCAGGCGGUCUUUUAAGUCUGAUGUGAAAGCCCUCGGCUUAACCGAGGAAGCGCAUCGGAAACUGGGAAACUUGAGUGCAGAAGAGGACAGUGGAACUCCAUGUGUAGCGGUGAAAUGCGUAGAUAUAUGGAAGAACACCAGUGGCGAAGGCGGCUGUCUGGUCUGUAACUGACGCUGAGGCUCGAAAGCAUGGGUAGCGAACAGGAUU
rnacentral:rRNA from 1 species